CUAAAUUUAGACUGAAUUAAAAUAAAAAGAGGUUACAAAACUCAUGGGGUAUCCCAAGCAGAAUAUAGCAUAGACAUCAUAGGACAUUCCCUAUGAUGUCAUGGCUAUAUGAGAUAACAGGCACUACACCCAACAAAUCAAUUAUAGAAACUAUCAUUUUACAAAAGACAGCAAAACCCCGGGGGUCCAAGGAUAGGACAAUCAGAGGCCAAAAAUGAUGUAGGCCACCUGCAUCCACUCCCACAAAUCGAUGAACCAUAGCAGAAAAGAAACCGCCUAGCAAGUCCCCAGCAGUAACUUCGCAUAAACAAAGCCUGACAGCCCACAAAAAGCAAUCAACCUCUCCCACAAACAGCAACUGCUACAACAGUACCAAUCCGGAGCAGGUGAAGCAAGGCAGACCCAGCAGGCAGACCCAACGAACAAAUAACUCAGCUCAACAACUUAAACCAGCAGCAACAAAUGGCUUGAAUUAUGUUUGUGGCUGCAAUAUGCAGUAGCUAGCAACACAAACAGCAGACCCAACAAAAAGGCCCAGACAAGAUAAGAGCACAACAACCAAGCAUAAUCCAUCAUCAGCUGCCUAUGCAGUCCACAAAGAAGCCACCUGCAGAAAAGCAGUAGAGCCCAACCAGAACAGCAGUCAACUGCAGCGGGAGUAAAACUCAGCAACAGCAGUAUAGCCAAGUGUAGCAGAACCAGCCACACCAUUGCAAGCAUUCCAGACAAAAAACAGGUCCAAAUAAUCCAUACUUGCAGCAAGAACAGAACUAGCACCCUAAUGCAGAUCAAGUAAAACUACUAAACUGCUAAAACUACUGCAGAUCAAAAUAAAACAGCAUCCCAGCCAACAGUAUGUCAGCAUACAUACAACGAAGCAAGCCAACAGUAUGUCAGCAUACAUAACAGGUCCAAGUAAACCAAGUAUAACUAACAGGUCCAAGUAAUCCAUGACUCCUAAACUGCUAAAACUACUGCAGAUCAAAAUAAAACAGCAUCCCAGCCAACAGUAUGUCAGCAUACAUACAACGAGCAAGCCAAACUCCUAAUUGCAGAAGUAGAGGAUAGAAGAGCCCAUAAGCAGUAUAUGAGACAGUAAGACGGAUUGAGAUUACAAUACAAGAUGAUGGAAACAAGCCUUAGAUUCAAGUUUUUGAAAUCUAGCAUAAGUGUGAAGGUGACACUUGAUAAUAUGGAGAAUAUCACGGAGAAUUACCCGAACAGGGGUAGCCUUAUUAGAGAAAAUCCUAGAAUUACGCUCUUGCUAAAUCCGAUACACAACAGUAGCAAAGCCAAAAAGUAAUAAACCAUGCUUGAAGUUAGGACCAGAGCUACAACAAAGGAAAUCAGUUAUCGAAGACCAACUUCGACUCAUCCCUCUCCAGCCACAACGCCUGAGGGUAGUGACCAAAAGCUGAAAGGAAAACCUACAUUGGAAGAAGAGGUGAUGGAAGGUUUCCCUCUCAGUAGAACAGAAGACACAAAGGGGGUUCAUUUCCAUACCGAACAUGAGAAGCCUAUCAAUAGUCCGAAGACCUUUAUGGAAAGCAAGCCAAAGAAGGAAAGAGUACCGAGGAGGGACCAUGCUGUGCCACACCAUGUUAUGCCACCCCACUGUUAAAC
rnacentral:lncRNA from 1 species